CCUACGGGAGGCAGCAGUGGGGAAUAUUGCACAAUGGGGGAAACCCUGAUGCAGCCAUGCCGCGUGUGUGAAGAAGGCCUUCGGGUUGUAAAGCACUUUCAGCGAGGAGGAAAGGUCAGUAGCUAAUGCCUGCUGGCUGUGACGUUACUCGCAGAAGAAGCACCGGCUAACUCCGUACCAGCAGCCGCGGUAAU
rnacentral:rRNA from 1 species